rnacentral:rRNA from 1 species
GUGCCAGCAGCCGCCGGUAAUACGAAGGGUGCAAGCGUUAUCGGAAUUACUGGGCGUAAAGCGCACGCAGGCGGUUGUUAAGUCAGAUGUGAAAUCCCCGGGCUCAACUGGGGAACUGCAUCUGAUACUGGCAAGCUUGAGUCUCGUAGAGGGGGGUAGAAUUCCAGGUGUAGCGGUGAAAUGCGUAGAGAUCUGGAGGAAUACCGGUGGCGAAGGCGGCCCCCUGGACGAAGACUGACGCUCAGGUGCGAAAGCGUGGGGAGCAAACAGGAUUAGAUACCCUGGUAGUCC